rnacentral:rRNA from 1 species
GCGGAGGAAAAGAAACUAACAAGGAUUCCCCUAGUAACGGCGAGUGAAGAGGGAAGAGCCCAAGAUUGAAAGCUGGCGUCUUCGACGUCCGCAUUGUAAUCUCAAGAAGUGUUUUCCGCUUCGGACCAAGCCUAAGUCUCCUGGAAAGGAGCAUCAUAGAGGGUGAUAAUCCCGUACAUGGCUUGGAGCGCCCGAAGCUUUGUGAUACACUUUCUAAGAGUCGAGUUGUUUGGGAAUGCAGCUCAAAAUGGGUGGUAAAUGCCAUCUAAGGCUAAAUAUUGGGGAGAGACCGAUAGCGAACAAGUACAGUGAUGGAAAGAUGAAAAGAACUUUGAAAAGAGAGUUAAACAGUACGUGAAAUUGCCAAAAGGGAAGGGUAGGAGGUCAAAGAUGCUUCCUGGGAUUCAGCCUUGCUUUUGCUUGGUGUUUUUCCCAAAUAGCAGGCCAACGUCGGUUUUGGGCACUGGAAAAGGGUAGGAGGAACGUGGCACCCCUCGGGGUGUGUUAUAGCCUCCUACUGGAUACAGCGACCGAGACCGAGGACAGCAGCGUACUCGCAAGAGCGGGCCUUCGGGCACCUUUACGCUUAGGGCGUUGGCAUAAUGGCCCUCUACCACCCGUCU